rnacentral:rRNA from 1 species
UUGACCUCAAAUCGGGUGAGACUACCCGCUGAACUUAAGCAUAUCAAUAAGCGGAGGAAAAGAAACUAACAAGGAUUCCCCUAGUAACUGCGAGUGAAGCGGGAAAAGCUCAAAUUUAAAAUCUGGUGGUCUUUGGCCAUCCGAGUUGUAAUUUAGAGAAGCGUCUUCCGCGCUGGACCGUGCACAAGUCUCCUGGAAUG